AACGCACCUUGCGCUCCUUGGCAUUCCAUGGAGCAUGCCUGUUUGAGUGUCACGUGAACACAUCACCUCCCUUUGGGGAUGCGUGGACUUGGACGUCUGCCGACGAGAGUCGGCUCGUCUCGAAAUGCAUUAGCCUGCAGAGUGCUUCGCUGGGCCUUUGGCGUGAUAGUAACAUUUCGCCGUAGCGUCUGCGAUGUCUUUGACUCUGGGCUCAUAAUAUUUGGAACCCGUCCGCGGGGACCAUCUUUUUUUACGCUCUGGCCUCAAAUCAGGUAGGACUACCCGCUGAACUUAA
rnacentral:misc_RNA from 1 species